GCAGUUGUAGUUUAGACUAAAACACUAGACUGUGAUUCUAGAAUCGAGAGUUAAAACCUUUCCAUCUGCU
rnacentral:tRNA from 1 species